GCCGCUUGUACAAAGUUCACAAGGAUCAGCACCAUGGCAUUGUUCUCUGUGAACCAGUCACUGGAAGAACUCAUCAGAUAUGAGUCCAUUUGCAGUUUAGUGGCCAUCCAAUUGCCAAUGGCGUGCUUUACCUUUCUAAACAAAGGACCAAUCAUUCAGCUGAAAGAAUGGUUGCUGAUAAAGCUGCCGGUUUGUCAUCAGAAUCCAGUGUUUUUGAUAUUGAGCAGAAUGAUAAGGAAGAAGAGCCUUGCAUUGAAGUUAGUACUGACCCUAUGUGCACGAAUUGUCCGAAUUUAGCUCCAAGGAUAUGGUGGGAGUGAGGAGGGAUUAUGGCUGCACUGCGUGCUAUACUGUGGACCCAGAUGGGUCUAUGAGUGCCCAUAUCCAGAUUGGGCAUCAUUUAGCUAGCCUGAGACAUUCCAAAUUUUCAUCUCGAGGCUGUUCUCUAAAUUUGCUUGAAAAAUGUAGCAAAUUCACAAAUGCAGCUAUUUACUUUUCCAAAGAGCCUUGAAAGAAUCUGAUACAGUGAGAGGCAAAUGCAAUACUGUAAAAAUUGUUUCAACUACCGCAAUAGUGUAUUCUAAUGCCAAGUGCAUGCUCAUUGGUUGUAGAAAAGAGAGCUUCCUCAUAGGUGAAAUUGCUAGCGUUAAAGUCCUUCAUGUUUGUAGGAUGAGAAUCAACUGUUGAUCCCGCUUGACAGAAGAAACAUUUUGCUGUGACUCAAUUCUUUUAUUGUUAGUCUGAUUGAGGAACUACUUACUGUUCACUUCCCUUUAGGGGGAAGCUCCUCUGAUCUCUCAGUUGAGUAUCAGGGGUAUCUAUGGUGUGUUGGGAGUACUUUUUAACUAUGAUUUUGUGUAGU